rnacentral:rRNA from 1 species
CAAUAGCGUAUAUUUAAGUUGUUGCAGUUAAAAAGCUCGUAGUUGGAUUUUGGGUCGGGGGCGCCGGUCCGCCGUUCCGGUGUGCACUGGUGGCCCCUUCCUUUCUGCCGGGGACGUGCGUCGCACUUAAUUAUUGGGUGGCGUUCGGAGUCGGCGUUGUUACUUUGAAAAAAUUAGAGUGUUCAAAGCAAGCCAUCGCUCUGAAUACAUUAGCAUGGAAUAACAUGAUAGGACUCUGGUCUUAUUUUGUUGGUUUCCGAGACUGGAGUAAUGAUUAAGAGGGACAGUCGGGGGCAUCCGUAUUUCAUUGUCAGAGGUGAAAUUCUUGGAUUUAUGAAAGACGAACUUCUGCGAAAGCAUUUGCCAAGGAUGUUUNCAUUA